UUUGGAUCAUGGCUCAAAUUGAACGCUGGCGGCAUGCCUCCCUCUUGCAAGUCGAACGGUAACAGGUUAAGCUGACGAGUGGCGAACGGGUGAGUAAUGUAUCGAACCGUGCCUAGUCUUGGGGGAUAACGUAGCGAAAGCUACGCUAAUACCGCAUACGAUCCAUGGAUGAAAGCGGGGGACCUUCGGGCCUCGCGCGAUUAGAGCGGCCGAUAUCAAAUUAGGUAGUUGGGGGGGUAAAGGCCCACCAAGCCAACAAUCUGUAGCUGGUCUGAGAGGACAACCAGCCACACUGGGGCUGAGACACGGCCCAAACUCCUACGGGAGGCAGCAGUGGGGAAUUUUGGACAUUGGGCGCAAGCCUGAUCCAGCAAUGCCGCGUGCAGGAUGAAGGCCUUCGGGUUGUAAACUGCUUUUGUCCGGAGCGA
rnacentral:rRNA from 1 species